rnacentral:rRNA from 1 species
GCCUACGGGAGGCAGCAGUGGGGAAUAUUGCGCAAUGGGCGAAAGCCUGACGCAGCGACGCCGCGUGAGGGAUGGAGGUCUUCGGAUCGUAAACCUCUGUCAGCAGGGAAGAACGGUCACUGUGCUAAUCAGCAGUGAAUUGACGGUACCUGCAAAGGAAGCACCGGCUAACUCCGUGCCAGCAGCCGCGGUAAUACGGAGGGUGCGAGCGUUAAUCGGAAUUACUGGGCGUAAAGCGCUCGUAGGCGGUAUGUCAAGUCACGGGUGAAAUCCCCGCGCUCAACGUGGGAACUGCCUCUGAAACU